rnacentral:rRNA from 1 species
UACAGAGGUCUCAAGCGUUGUUCGGAUUCAUUGGGCGUAAAGGGCGCGUAGGCGGCGGGGUAAGUCGGGUGUGAAAUCUCAGAGCUCAACUCUGAAAUGGCACUUGAUACUGCUCUGCUAGAGGACUGGAGAGGAGAUUGGAAUUCACGGUGUAGCAGUGAAAUGCGUAGAUAUCGUGAGGAAGACCGGUGGCGAAGGCGGAUCUCUGGACAGCUCCUGACGCUGAGGCGCGAAGGCUAGGGGAGCAAACGGG